rnacentral:rRNA from 1 species
CCCUGGCUCAGACGAACGCUGGCGGCGUGCCUAAUACAUGCAAGUCGAGCGGAAUGAUGAAGAAGCUUGCUUCUUCUGAUUUUAGCGGCGGACGGGUGAGUAACACGUGGGCAACCUACCUUGUAGAUUGGGAUAACUCCGGGAAACCGGGGCUAAUACCAAAUAAUCCAUUUUGCUUCAUGGCGAAAUGUUGAAAGGCGGCUUCGGCUGUCACUACGAGAUGGGCCCGCGGCGCAUUAGCUAGUUGGUAGGGUAACGGCCUACCAAGGCGACGAUGCGUAGCCGACCUGAGAGGGUGAUCGGCCACACUGGGACUGAGACACGGCCCAGACUCCUACGGGAGGCAGCAGUAGGGAAUCUUCCACAAUGGACGAAAGUCUGAUGGAGCAACGCCGCGUGAGUGAAGAAGGUUUUCGGAUCGUAAAACUCUGUUGUAAGGGAAGAACACGUACGAGAGUAACUGCUCGUACCUUGACGGUACCUUAUUAGAAAGCCACGGCUAACUA